CUCUCUCUCUCUAUUUCUUAUAUGUUUUUUUGUUAUUUUAUUUGAUAUUUCUUUUGCUCCAUUCCAUUUCCUUUUCCUUCUUCUCCACAUGAUUCUUUUCCCUCUCACUCUCUCUUUCUCUAGGAUCCAUUUCCCUCUUACAAUAGGAGCUCUUAAAUUCUUCCAGCAACUUCUUCCCUAACCCGGCGACUUUUCUUUCUCAUCUUCAUGGCUUCGAUUAUCUACAGAACUUAUUAGUAGGGCAAACGAUGGUCGGAACCGAUGCCAUGUCAACACAACCCCUUUUUGCAAUCUUCCCUCAAACCUAUCCUCACUCACGAUACGUGUUCUUAGGGAAGAUAACAAACCAACCACAGCAGGGGAAAGAUGGGGGCAUCACUUCACAGGUCUUCAAAAAGACAGGCAAUACAGUUAAAACCUCCAUACCUUAUGGAAGGUUGAGUGAAAUCCUUUAAUGAGUACAUAGAAGAAGGAAUUAAGCAGAUAACCUUGAAGAACUAUACAAGAAAAUUUAUGUUGUUGUCUGUGCUGAUCCCAUGGUGAAGAAAUCUGAUAAGGAACCACCCAAGGGCACUAUAAACGUUUAUGGUACACUUCCCUAUCACCUUUUUGAUUAAAAAUUCAAAACCCACCACUUAUUAGUGGAACAUUUUCUCAAGACUUUACAAUUUUUUAUUCCUAUUUCAUUU